AACGUAGGAGGCGAGCGUUAUCCGGAGUUACUGGGCGUAAAGCGCGUGUAGGUGGCUGGUUACGUCUGCUGUGAAAGCGUUCGGCUUAACCGGGCGUAGGCGGUAGAUACGGACGAGCUAGAGGGUGACAGAGGAGCGUAGAAUUCCGGGUGUAGUGGUGAAAUGCGUAGAGAUCCGGAGGAAUACCAGUGGCGCAAGCGGCGCUCUGGGUCGAGCCUGACACUGAGACGCGAAGGCAUGGGGAGCGAACGGG
rnacentral:rRNA from 1 species